GUUACGGUGUUUAGCCCUAUAAGGCUGGUGAUCGUAGCCCUGAUCGGAUCAAUUGCUUUAGAGGAAACGCUGCAUUUGGGAAGUAUAAUCGGUGCCAUGAUAAUGGUGGGAGGAGUAUACCUAGUGGUAUGGUGUAAAGCGCAGGAAAAGAAGAAUGGCUCUACGAAAUCAGACCAUAUUGUAACAAAUAAGAAUAUCAAAGAAAUGGACCUUGUCAAUCUCCCAGCUAUAAAUAGAGAUGUCCCCUGAAUCCACCAUAUGGUUAGAGCAUCAUAUAUAAUUUGAGUCCAUAGAAAGUAGGAUCGAUAUGUGAAUAUCCAUCCAUAUGAUUGCCUGAAUUGGUGUUAAUUAGCCUUUGUAGUAUCUCUCCAUUUUCAGAGUGACUUCGGUAUUAUAACACAAUUAUAACUUGAUAGUUAUUACCUCUAAAAUGCUAUAUAUGUUCUAUUUCUA